UUGACAUAACAGGAAAUGCACUUAUUUUGUAAGAAAACAUAGUUUAUCAGUUUAUUGCAUGAGAUACGAUGGAUUCCAUAUAUCUGUGUACUUAUUUAGAUCUAAAAAAAACUCCAUUUGCCUUUCACAAAAUAAAGAUAAAAUAUACAACUCGAUGGAAUUUAAAUAGCAAACAUGAUUCUUAAAGUGGUUAAACAGAAGUUUAUGACCUUAAAACAGAGUCGACGGUGGUGACGUAAUAGGCAGCUCGGUAAACAGCCGCUCGGUAAACAGACGAAACGCAAUCUGCGCAUCUGUGGUAGCCUGUGAACUUCAGCCAGCGAGCGACACAGGCCUGCCGCUCGGCUGAACUUUUAAAUACAGGACUGUCCUUUGUGCGAAAUACCGCCAAGGACAAACCGCGAACUAUACAUACACGAUUCAGUCAAAUACAUCAGUUCCCCACGGCUGAACAGCUUCAUCACCAAUGACCUCCUUCAAGGACUCAUCAGCCUUGCUGAUGUGUGCAGCUGGACAUAAUACCCUCUGCAGAGCUUUGUGGUCUAGGGCAGAGCAAUGACCAAACUGGUCCACAAGCAGAACAUCAGCUGACUCCCCAUAGUCGUUCCAGCUUGGCUAUUUGGCACUUGCUUGCAAACAUCAUCCCCAGGCCUGGUUCCAAGCGAUAGUCCUGGGAACCGCGUUGCUGGCAGGACCUGUUCAUCAAGUACUUCCUACUAGAAGCUCAAGCUCCAGCUGACGUAGGGAAUUGUUAAGGACUGAAGAACCCCUCCACCAGACUAGAGGGGCAAUCCUCGAGGGGUAGUUCUUAAGUUUAAAUUAAUAAGUGGC